CAUUGUUGUGUUGUUGAAAUGCAAACAAAAAUCUAUAUGAUGUCAACUUUAUUCUCAGCUAAUCCCAUUGUCAAAUGACAGAUUGUGAUGUUGGUAACUGGAAAGCCUCCAUUGUUGGAGGACGAGAAGCCGUAUCCAAUUGAAGCAGCACAGGCUUCUGCGAUGACUGUGGAAACCACUGCUUAUGCCUUGCUUCAAGCAUUGUCAAGGAAUGAUGUUGACUACGCAACAUGGAUUGCGAGGCGGCUAACGAUGCAACAGAACUAUGGUGGUGGAUUUCACUCGAUGCAGGACACAAUCAUUGCCUUGGAAGUUUCAUCACGAUGCGACAUUGCAUUUCUGAAGAGGGAAGAAGAAAUCAAUAUGCAAAUUCAAUUCCAUGUUUUUGGAAGUCCCAUUGAGAACACGAUUCAUUUGCGCCGGCAUAAUGCUCUGACUGAGAAAGAAUUGAAGGACACAAUCAUCGCCUUGGAAGCUUCAUCACGAUACUACUUUGCAUUUCUGAAGAGGGAAGAAGAAAUAAACAUGCAAAUUCAAUUCCAUGGUUUUGGAAGUCCCAUUGAGAACACGAUUCAUUUGCGCCGGCAUAAUGCUCUGACCGAGAAAGAAUUGAAGGACACAAUCAUCGCCUUGGAAGCUUCAUCACGAUACUACUUUGCAUUUCUGAAGAGGGAAGAAGAAAUCAACAUGAAAAUUCAAUUCCAUGGUUUUGGAAGUCCCAUUGAGAACACGAUUCAUUUGCGCCGGCAUAAUGCUCUGACCGAGAAAGAAUUGAAGGACACAAUCAUCGCCUUGGAAGCUUCAUCACGAUGCUAGUUUGCAUUUCUGAAGAGGGAAGAAGAAAUCAAUAUGCAAAUUCAAUUCCAUGGUUUUGGAAGUCCCAUUGAGAACACGAUUCAUUUGCGCCGGCAUAAUGCUCUGACCGAGAAAGAAUUGAAGAACCUACCCCGGAAGAGAGAGCCCAGAGAAUUGCCAAAGCUGUCCGCAAACAGUCAACAGAAGUGAAGGAAAAUUGGGAGCAAUUGAAAACCCGUGCAAGCAACUGGCAGAAACAGGUGGAAAAGGCGUUGGAGAAACUUCAAGAACUGCAGAAAGCUCUGGAUGAUCUUGAGGCUCAUGUGAUAACAGCUGAGGGGGUCCACACUGAUUGGCAACCUGUGGGUGACCUGCUUAUUGACUCAUUGCAGGAUCACAUUGAUAAAACCACAGGUAAGGACUAUCUGCAAAAUCUGAGAUUGGGUUUUGAAAGACAGCAGCCUUUGUUUUGGAGAGAUAAUGGGAACUGCAGAUGCUGGAGAAUGCGAGAUAACACCGUGUGGAACUGGACGAAGACAGCAGGCCAAGCAUCAUCUUAGGAGCACAAAAGCUAAUGUUUCGGGCCGAGAACCACCUUCAGAAAAUGGGGAGGGGGUGCGGGUUCUGGAUUAAAUAGGGAGAGAGGGGGAGGCGGAUGGAAGAUGGAUGGAGGAGAAGGUAGGUGGAGAGGAGAGUAUGGGUAGGGAGGCAGGGAGGGGAUAGGUCAGUCUGGGGAGGCGGGACAGGGCAAGGGAGCGGGAUGAGGGGAAAUAGGGGUGCGGCAUGAGGUGGGAGGGGGGGAUGGGUGAGAGGAAGAAUAGGUUAGGGAGGCGGGGACGAGCUGGGCUGGUUUUGGGAUGCAGUGGGAGGACAGGAGAUUUGGAAGCUUGUGAAAUCCACACUGAUACCAUUGGGCUGCAGGGUUCCCAAGCAGAAUAUGAGUUGCUGUUCCUGCAACCUUCGGGUGGCGUCAUUAUGGCACUGCAGGAGGCCCAGGUUGGACGUGUCCUCUCAGGAAUGGGAGGGGGAGUUGAAAUGGUUAGUGACUGGGAGGUGCAGUUGUUUAUUGCAAACUGAGCGUAGGUGUUCUGAAAAGCGGUCCCCAAGCCUCUGCAUUGUUUCCCCAAUGUAGAGGAAGCCACAACGGGGACAGCGGAUGUUUUGGAUAUUUCUUCAGCAUUGAUUUUCAUUCAGAGUUGGUUCGAUUUUGCUGAAGCAAUAGACAUAACUCACUAUGACGUAGACAAUGUCAGAGUUAAUGGUUCGCGUCCUGUGACCCUUCCUCAGAUCUCACUCUUAACUGAUGCUGCCAGACCUGCUGAGCUUUUCCAGCAACUUCUGCUUUUGUUGCUGAUUUACAGUGCCCACAGUUCUUUUGUUUUUUACAACACAGACAAAACUUGAUCUCUGCAGGAAGCAUGAUGCUGCAUUCUCCAACUUCCCUGGCCUUUUGUAAUAUAAUAUUGUCUUUUUAGGACAGAAGUGGCUUUUUUUUUGUUUUAACUUCUGCACAUGCUUUCUAUGCAGGUUAAAAGUCUACACCUUUUCAGUUCACUGCCGUGCUGCAUAAUGAAGACUUGGAACAAUUUUUUUUAUGAAGUAGAAAAUCAGUGUGGUUUGUUUUCCAAAAUGUGAUGUGUAAGUGCAACACUUAACAGUGUGUUCAUCAAACUAUUGUUUCCUUUGAUCUUUGUGUUGCAGAAAUUUCUAGAAUCAUUUCAUAUAUAUUUUUCUUGAUAUAUUUUAGCAGCUUUCCUGGAGCAAGUCUGUUUUCCUUCGGAUGAGACGACUUUCAGACAUACUCCCUUUAUUAUGAGAUAUAAUUGGGGUAAAAUGAGGAGGAUUUUUAUUCACUGAGACACACAUGACUAUAUGUUUAAAUCAUUGGAAAAUGCAUUCUGUUCGGACUGUCAUGUUAUCUGGUGUUUGUACCAGGCUUUCCGAUUAAAUGCAAGUGAUUAAGGAUGCUAAUGAUGCCACAUGUUAUUACAAGAGGAAAUGAACUUCCAAGUAAGGAUUUUAUGCCACAUUUAUACACAGCAUGGACCACGCAGCAUGGAUGCAGUGACUGAGGGAAAUGGGAUGCAGUGGCUGUGGGAAAUGGGAUGCAGUGACGGAGUGAAAUGGAAUGCCGUGACAGAGUGAAAUGGGAUGCCGUGACAGAGUGAAAUGGGAUGCUCACAGUGAAUUGCCCCCUCCAUCCUGACCCUCUCGCAGCGACCUGACCCGCUCACACUGACUCGCCCCUGCAGUCCUGACCCGCUCACAGUGACUAGCCCCUGCAGUCCUGACCAGCUCACAGCGACUUCUCUCUGCAGUCCUGACCCACUCACAGCGACCUACCCCUCCGUGCUGACCCGCUCAGAGUGAGUUGCCCCUACAGUCCUGACACCCCUCACAGUGACCUGCCCCCUCACUCCUGACCCGCUCUGCAUUGAGGAAACCAAGCGGAGGCUUGGGGACCGCUUUGCAGAACACCUCCGCUCGGUUCGCAACAAACAACUGCACCUCCCAGUCGCGAACCAUUUUAACUCCCCCUCCCAUUCCUUAGACGACAUGUCCAUCAUGGGCCUCCUGCAGUGCCACAAUAAUGCCACCCGAAGGUUGCAAGGACAGCAACUCCUCAUCCGCUUGGGAACCCUGCAACCCAAUGGUAUCAAUGUGGACUUCACAAGCUUCAAAAUCUCCCCCUCCCCAACUGCAUCCCAAAACCAGCCCAGUUCUUCCCCUCCCGCUACUGCAUCACAAAACCAGCCCAGCCUGUCUCCGCCUCCCUAACCUGUUGUUCCUCUCACCCAUCCCUUCCUCCCACCUCAAGCCACACCUCCAUUUCCGACCGACCACCUCAUCCUGCCUCCUUGACUUGUCCGUCUUCCCUGGACUGACCUAUCCCCUCCCUCCCUCCUCACCUGUACUCUCCUCUCUACCUAUCUUGUUUUCUCUCCAUCUUCGGUCCGCAUCCCCCCCUCUCCCUAUUUAUUCCACUUCCCUCUCCCAUCCCCCUCUCUGAUGAAGGGUCUCGGCCUGAAAUGUCAGCUUUUGUGCUCCUGAGAUGCUGCUUGGCCUGCUGUGUUCAUCCAGCUCCACACUUUGUUAUUUUGGAUUCUCCAGCAUUUGCCAUUAUCAGUGGCCUUUCCUCUUUGUCAAAGUUUGUGCAAAAGCAACACGAUAUGGGGCGGCACGGUGGCUCAGUGAUUAGCACUGCAGCUUCACAGCACUGGGGACUCAGGCUCAAUUCCAGCCUCAGGCAACUGUUUGUGUGGAAUUUGCACCUUGACCCUGUGUCUGCGUGGGUUUCUUCCAGGUGCUCCGGUCUCCUCCCACAGUCCAAAGAGGUGCACGCUAGGUGGAUUGGCCAUGCUAAAUUGCCCAUAGUGUUCAGGGGCGUGGGUCUGGGUGGGAUGCUCCAAGGUUUGGUGUGCAGUUGUUGGGCCAAAGGGCCUGUUUCCACACUGUAGGGAAUCUAAACAAUCCUGUUCCCACAUCUCCAUGUUAUAACCCUGCUGAGCACUGCACACAGAGAUGUUUGAUAACAAAAGGAUAACAAUAAUAUUCAAACCCAGUGCUGGAGAUGUAUUUUAAAUACACUGAGGCCAGUGUCGAUCUCCAAUUCAACUUUUAUUUACAAAUGAACUGUCUUCAACUUUAGCACUGCCUCAUUCAGAGAUAGUUGCCAGGGUGUCAGCAUCUCUGACCCUCACACGACUUAGCUGUCAGUCAGGGCUCCCUGAUUUGGGCUGUUAAUGUGGACCAGUCAGGCAACUCAUAUUCUGAGGUUCAACUGGCCGACCUGGUCACAAACCAGUGCGGUGUGUUCAUCGAAAAUCAAACAUGUACUAGAAAGGUACCAUUACAUACCAGUGCAAAGGAAGGCAUGAGGCUAAACUGGGGAGGGAAGGGAACUGCUUAUUGGGGGUGGCUCAGAGAGUGGAAGAAAAUCGAAUGGGAAGAAGACCAUUUGAGACUGAGGGAGAGAGAUGUAAUUGCCUGAAUGAGGCAUUCCAAUUGCGAAAUGGAUUUUUGUGUGUACACCCUGUUCAGUUUCCCCGAUCUUAAUCUGUCCUCCUCUUUAAAUCAUUCGUAUCUGAAAUUUCUGUAUCAUUUCCAAAUGCUCUGUCUCUAAUGUUAUGCUGUUGGAAUUGUUUGAACUGCAGAGAUAUCAUUUAUUUGCACAAAUGUGUUCAGUGAAAUGAGUUGCAUGCUAUAUAUGUAUUAUUCUUCCUGAUUCUAUUAUACGCAUACAAAUUAAAGUUAGUUCCACUUUUGAACAACAAA